GACGAACGCUGGCGGCGUGCCUAAUACAUGCAAGUUGAGCGAUGAAGAUUGGUGCUUGCACCAAUUUGAAGAGCAGCGAACGGGUGAGUAACGCGUGGGGAAUCUGCCUUUGAGCGGGGGACAACAUUUGGAAACGAAUGCUAAUACCGCAUAACAACUUUAAACAUAAGUUUUAAGUUUGAAGGAUGCAAUUGCAUCACUCAAAGAUGAUCCCGCGUUGUAUUAGCUAGUUGGUGAGGUAAAGGCUCACCAAGGCGAUGAUACAUAGCCGACCUGAGAGGGUGAUCGGCCACAUUGGGACUGAGACACGGCCCAAACUCCUACGGGAGGCAGCAGUAGGGAAUCUUCGGCAAUAGACGAAAGUCUGACCGAGCAACGCCGCGUGAGUGAAGAAGGUUUUCGGAUCGUAAAACUCUGUUGGUAGAGAAGAACGUUGGUGAGAGUGGAAAGCUCAUCAAGUGACGGUAACUACCCAGAAAGGGACGGCUAACUACGUG
rnacentral:rRNA from 1 species